CAUUGCAGCUUGUUGACGGCGGCGCGCUUUUCAUGCCCCAGUUCUCCGCAAUGAGGAAGACGUGAGUGGACUCUUGCAAGGGAGAUGUUUGCCCGCCGGCUCGACACAGUCCGAUGGCCCCAUUCCCAGCUGGCCGGGAGGGGGCACAGGCUCCUAAAUGUCAAAGGCCUGCCCGGUGCAAAAGUAUUGCUUCCUGUUGCAUUUUGGCGCCAAGGGACUAUGUUGAGGGAUUCUCCGCGGGAAGAGCCACCAUGGGGAGCUUUUCCGAGGGGGACAUGGGCGGAGGUUCUUUGCUCCCGGGUUGGUCCGCAACCUCCGCUUCGGGCGCGGGGGAGCUGGGGGAUUUGGCGGCGGCGCUGGCGGCGAAUCCUUGAGCAAUGUCGUCGAAGGUCCUUCCUUUGGUCUCGGGCACCCGCAGGAAAGUGAAGAUGAAGAAGAGGAUGAGCAAGACCAUGAAGAUGAUGAACACGUAAGGACCGCAGAGUUCCUAAGGGAAGCACAGACAGAGAGUUUGGAUCCACAAAGUGUGUGCAUGCUGGCGCCCUCUUGUGGCAUAGUAAAGUAUCACCUAUGUACGUU